GUGGUUGUGGCUUAAUGGUAGAGCGCUUGCCUAGCAUCUGUGAUACACUGAGUUCGAUUCUCAGCACCACA
rnacentral:tRNA from 1 species